rnacentral:rRNA from 1 species
GUUAGGAAUAUUGGACAAUGGGCGCAAGCCUGAUCCAGCCAUGCCGCGUGAGUGAUGAAGGCCUUCGGGUUGUAAAGCUCUUUAGUCCACGAAUAUAAUGACUGUAGUGGAAGAAUAAGCCCCGGCUAACUUCGUGCCAGCAGCCGCGGUAAUACGAAGGGGGCGAGCGGUAUUCGGAAUCACUGGGCGUAAAGCGUGCGUAGGCUGUUUUGUAAGUCAGAAGUGAAAGCCCAGGGCUUAACCCUGGAAUUGCUUUUGAAACUACAAGACUCGAAUUCGGGAGAGGAUAGCGGAAUUGUCAGUGUAGCAGUGAAAUGCGUAGAUAUUGACAGGAACACCAGUGGCGCAAGCGGCUAUCUGGACCGAUAUUGACGCUGAGGCACGAAAGCGUGGGGAGCAAACAGGAUUAGAAACCCUGGUAGUCC